CUGGAUCCGAAGGCUACUCAUUCAAAUAUAUAAGCUCCGUAUCAGAGUUCACAGACCUGAUUACAAUUGUUAAGAAAAAUACCCCUUACAUUAUACAGCAAACACCAACUGACUUAAAGAACCCAAGCAACAUAAAAAAAAAAUGUACUCAAACUAUUCCUGAUACCAGCAUAACCUGUUUACAUAUUUAUCCCAGCAACUUUUAAUCUCCGCAUUCAAAAGUCAUCCAAAACGCCCAAACCUAGCUUUAGCUGGGAGCUUAUACAAAAAAUCCGUAGAGCUCCGCUUCCCUCCGAUCUUCGUUUCCAAGCGUUGCCGCUACGGUCUUCCUGCAAAAUAACAGCCAGUUCAUAUGAAUAACUUCAUUAGCUCCCCAAGUACAAUCUGUUUGAUGAGCCAUAUUGGCAAGGAGAUCAGAAGCUCUAUUUGCUUCCCUAAAAAUAUGAGAUGUGAAAAAUACAUGACCUAAGUUUCCAAUACAAUACAUCAAUUAACAUUGGCGGACCCUGAGUAUCUCCCACCUUACAGUUAGCAAUAUCAGAAAUAACAGCCAGAGAGUCUCCUUCCAGGCAAAUAAGAUAGCUUUUAAUUCCACUACAGCUACCUACCNN
rnacentral:lncRNA from 1 species